rnacentral:tRNA from 1 species
GGAGACGUAGGAUAAUUGGUAAUCCAGCAGAUUCGAAAUCUGCCGCCCCAAAAGGCUUGCGAGUUCGAGUCUCGCCGUCUCCGCCA